rnacentral:rRNA from 1 species
UACGAAGGGGGCUAGCGUUGCUCGGAAUCACUGGGCUUAAAGGGCGCGUAGGCGGUCGAUCAAGUCAGGGGUGAAAUCCUGCAGCUUAACUGUAGAAGUGCCUUUGAUACUGGUCGUCUCGAGGGAGGUAGGGGUGUGUGGAACUUCCAGUGGAGCGGUGAAAUGCGUUGAUAAUUGGAAGGAACGCCGGAGGCGAAAGCGACGCACUGGACCUUUUCUGACGCUGAGGCGCGAAAGCUAGGGGAGCAAACGGGG